rnacentral:ncRNA from 2 species
GUUUAUCUUCAGGGCAGGGUGUAACUCCCGACCGGCGGUGAUAGUCCGCGAACCUUCGGGUUGAUUUGGUGCAAUUCCAAAACCGACAGUAAAGUCUGGAUGAGAGAAGGUAGGA